UACGAAGGGGGGCUAGCGUUGCUCGGAAUCACUGGGCGUAAAGCGCACGUAGGCGGAUUGUUAAGUCAGGGGUGAAAUCCUGGAGCUCAACUCCAGAACUGCCUUUGAUACUGGCGAUCUCGAGUCCGGGAGAGGUGAGUGGAACUCCGAGUGUAGAGGUGAAAUUCGUAGAUAUUCGGAAGAACACCAGUGGCGAAGGCGGCUCUCUGGGACGGUACUGACGCUGAGACGCGAAAGCGUGGGGAGCGAACAGG
rnacentral:rRNA from 1 species